AAGAAAGCAGAGGGCGUGGGCAGGAGCUGGGGCUGCCUCCUUCCCAAACACUGACGGCUCCUGUUGACACAGACUUGAAAAUUCUGAGCGCUCAUGGACAUAUUAGCAUACUACAAAUAUCUAAAGGGGCUGUGAAAUAUCACUGAGAAGAUAAGCUUUCACAUGCCCUUUGGAGAGUCACAUCCUAUUCUGAGAACCCCCAUUGUCUGAGCCAGCCCAUGGGGAGCACAGGCUUCAGGUUCUAAGCUCGGUGGUCUGGGAAGUCCCGGGAAGAGAAGAACUGAGCCACGGUCCCAGGAAGAGAAAAACAGAUAGUGGCCAGGCUCCAUGUGUGCCCGCCCUGCUCUCCUCAUCUCCCAUGGAUCCAUGUUCCUGAUCCUCACAGCUCUAGUCGUAUUCUCCACUUUCUGCAGAUGGGAUUUAAACCCAGGUCUUCUGGGUCCAGCGUUCCUGCUCUUAAUCAUCCAGGCCUAAGGACACGGGUUGAAAGUCAUUCACUGCUGCCUCUGGAGAUAUUCAGAAGUAACUGUGAAGUAAUUGUGGAUGGGAUCCAUGUCUACUUGGUAUGUUUGUCUCCUGAGCAUCUGUUGCCAGUGUAAUUUCAUGACAAUCAUCAAUAUGUAUUGAAUAAAACAAUGGAUAUGUGAGUGGCUGCAGUAUCCCCAAGUCAUUUUGAACUGUGAUUUUUACAUGCCAGGGCCAUCAUCAGAAAAUAUUUAUGUGUUACUUACCUAAGUCAGCACAAUGCAGGCCAGUGAAUGCUCAAAGAAACUGGAAAUUCAGGUCCUGCCCUCUAGCUCACCUCUUAAGGGGUUGGCCUGCCCAAACUCUGUUAUCACUGGAA
rnacentral:lncRNA from 10 species